rnacentral:misc_RNA from 1 species
AUUAAAUUCUCAAACUCACUCUGGUUUUUSCAAUUGUGAUGUUUGGAUUGUUGGGGGCUGCUGGCCUUGACAGGUCGGCUCCUCUUAAAUGCAUUAGCAGGACUUCUCAUUGCCUCUGCGCAUGAUGUGAUAACUAUCACUCAUCAAUAGCACGCAUGAAUAGAGUCUGGCUCUCUAACCGUCCGCAAGGACAAUUUGACAAUU